GAUGUACGCUGGCGGCGUGCCUAAUACAUGCAAGUCGAGCGAACGGACGAGAAGCUUGCUUUUCUGAUGUUAGCGGCGGACGGGUGAGUAACACGUGGAUAGCCUACCUAUAAGACUGGGAUAACUUCGGGAAACCGGAGCUAAUACCGGAUAAUAUUUUGAACCGCAUGGUUCAAAAGUGAAAGAUGGUCUUGCUGUCACUUAUAGAUGGAUCCGCGCUGCAUUAGCUAGUUGGUAAGGUAACGGCUUACCAAGGCAACGAUGCAUAGCCGACCUGAGAGGGUGAUCGGCCACACUGGAACUGAGACACGGUCCAGACUCCUACGGGAGGCAGCAGUAGGGAAUCUUCCGCAAUGGGCGAAAGCCUGACGGAGCAACGCCGCGUGAGUGAUGAAGGUCUUCGGAUCGUAAAACUCUGUUAUUAGGGAAGAACAUAUGUGUAAGUAACUGUGCACAUCUUGACGGUACCUAAUCAGAAAGCCACGGCUAACUACGUG
rnacentral:rRNA from 1 species